rnacentral:rRNA from 1 species
AGCGAAUGCUGGCGGCAGGCUUAACACAUGCAAGUCGAGCGGGCAUCCUUGUGGUGUCAGCGGCAGACGGGUGAGUAACGCGUGGGAACGUGCCCUUCGGUUCGGAAUAACUCAGGGAAACUUGAGCUAAUACCGGAUACGUGCGAGAGCAGAAAGGUUUAUCUGCCGAAGGAUCGGCCCGCGUCUGAUUAGCUAGUUGGUGAGGUUACGGCUCACCAAGGCGACAAUCAGUAGCUGGUCUGAGAGGAUGAUCAGCCACACUGGGACUGAGACACGGCCCAGACUCCUACGGGAGGCAGCAGUGGGGAAUAUUGGACAAUGGGGGCAACCCUGAUCCAGCCAUGCCGCGUGAGUGAUGACGGCCUUAGGGUUGUAAAGCUCUUUUCUCCGGGACGAUAAUGACGGUACCGGAGGAAUAAGCCCCGGCUAACUUCGUG